rnacentral:rRNA from 1 species
AGCGAACGCUGGCGGCAGGCCUAAUACAUGCAAGUCGAACGAACCUUUCGGGGCUAGUGGCGGACGGGUGAGUAACACGAGGGAACGUUCCCUUAGGUUCGGAAUAACUCAGGGCAACUUGUGCUAAUACCGAAUGUGACCCUCGGGGGCAAGAUUUAUCGCCUCUAGAGCGGACCGCGUCCGAUUAGCUAGUUGGUUGAGGUAAUGGCCUACCACGGCGACGAUCAGUAGCUGGUCUGAGAGGAUGAUCAGCCACAUUGGGACUGAGACACAGCCCGAACUCCUACGGGAGGCAGCAGUGGGGGAUCUUGCGCAAUGGGCGAAAGGCUGACGCAGCCAUGCCGCGUGAAUGAUGUAGGUCUUAGGAUUGUAAAAUUCUUUCACCGGGGACGAUAAUGACGGUACCCGAAGAAAAAGCCCCGGCUAACUUCGUG